rnacentral:lncRNA from 1 species
CCAUAUCUUCUAAACUGUAACUCCAAAAUUAACAUUUUAUAUAUGAAUUUUGAUUAGAAAAAUUUGUAAAAUCUGGAUAUAAUGUUAUUUUACUUAGAUUAUAAAUCAUUUUUUUGUAAAUUAAAAACGUGUGGUAUUCUUUUCUUCCAUUGCAACGUGUGAGCUCUUUUGCUAAUUAAAAAAAUAUACGUAUAUGCAGCCUAUAAUCUCCUUCGAGUGAUAACCUGGGAUGAUGGUCUGCAGGCAUCAUGGACCCUGAGCCCUCGUUACAUCGGUAAACGCGCUAUUGCACCGGAAGGCAACCCAACUGAAUUGUCAGUCACGGCAUGGUUCUUCGUUUUCUUUAGCAAGCAAACGGAGAAGAGGAUCAAAGAAGAAUAUACUAGGAACCCAGACGGUGCUCCUUUUCUGCUCCCGGUUGCUCCACGUAGCGCUUCGUUUUCGGUAGCUGUCGGCUCUUCCGAAGUUGCGAUCGAUUGGGACGUGCAGAAAAUCGCAUGCGCGCAUCAGGAACGAAAUAUCACGGUAGCUGUGGAUGAGAACUCGCUUUCAGCCUGGCAGCCUGCGAAGAAUAGAAAAGAGUAUGUUGGCAUAGAUCAACGGGGUGCCAUCAUCAUUAUCUUAAACCAAUCGGCGGAGUAUACAUUAAAAUACCGAGCGAAGCCCCGAACCGAACAUGAAGCGGGCGAGAGAGAAGUCAAAGUUCGAAAGAGUUCUAUAUUUUGGAGAGAGUGGAAGGGGAAAGAUUUUGAUCUAGAUUCUAGGUCAAGUGAUCAAAGGAUUAUAAGUAAAAUACCACUGUAUUAGACAUGCAGUUUCUGUGAGGAAACUUCAUAGCGACACAUACGCGCAUCAUUCCGUUCCGUAUCAGAUUAUUGGCCGCAUAACUUCAUUUCAUAUCAUAUCUAAGGGCAUCACCCGAGUCCUAUUUACGUUCGAGGCCGGCAUCCGACCAACGCCUUUGUGCAUGUUAAAUCAAUGUAUUUUCAAGACAAGAGCACAAGCAUUUCUCUGUGACUUUAGUGACACGAUGUGAGAAAGGAAAGUGGAACGAAUUGUGCAUCUUAUCGCUACUGCCGCCGUGCUGAUUGGAUUCGCAGCUAAGCUCCGGCCACACCUUAGCGGAUCAAAAUAAGAUGGAUGAUUAUGCAUGGCUCGUCGGCUGGGGGCACUGGAGGAACAAGGAAUUUGUUCGGUCGUCCGGGGAGGAAAGGGGUAAAGGGCGGCCAUGGAUGGUUGAUCAACCGGAACCAUUGGUCUGGUCAGAAGGGGCAGUGCUUCACACAACUUUAUGCACAUACAGUUGGCGUGUGUCCUUGGAGUUUGAAAGGUCUAAAGUGAGGUUUAUAUCAUGGGCCAAUUUCGUUUCAGAUAACGAACGGAUUGUCCUCCUCUCACGUAUGUUUCGAGCAGCAGAGUCGGAUUGUUGAUGAUAGAUAGCAUUCCAUGGAAAACGCAGUAUUUUCUAGUUUUUCUUUUAGCAACUCAUCAGUUUUCUAACAUUAUUCCCACUCCCACAAACGUAGACUAACUAGUUAUCUCUAUUAGAUAAUGUUGGAAGAUUAGGCAAGUUCGUGUUAAUUCCAAUAGAUAAUUUAUGACUAGAACAGAAGAUAGCAUGCAUUACUCUAGCAAUCUAAAAGAGCAACCGAACAUGCAGAUCAUCACCGUGCAUGAAGUAGCCACUACCACGAGGAAUAUUAACAGAUUACGAGUAACGUACUGUUCGUUAGUUGCAUCAGGAGCGACAAUGUUGAUGAUGAUGUUGACGACGAUCUUUUGUUGAUGGCGAUGAAGAUGACGAUGAGUAGCAUCGUCCGCCUUAGACGAUAGAUGACCCGUGGUGAAGAAUUUGAGCAGUCGCGCAAAUCGCUUUCCAAAAACCUAAUUCGUCAUGUCCCGGUGCAGGAUCGCAAUGACGAACGGUUCCGGAGACCUGCUCUCUCGCACGCCGAUGCAUGCCGCCGUUCGAGAUGAGGUAGACUACAACGGCGGCGCAAGUUGUGAGACGAGGCAAAACCCUAGGUG